AGAGGAUCUAAGGAGGCCACUGGACUGGGCACUGUGGGCACUAUACCUCCAGCCGCCACACUGGACGGACGGAGGCGCCUGCAGGUCCACUGAGGCACAUUCACAGGCAGUUUCUGGCCGACGCCUUGAGUGCGAGUGGAAGGUGAGGACUCAGCUGAGCCACUCCACGUCCUCCCUUCCCGCGGCCCUCCCCUGCUUCGCCUGUGUCCUCCCCCAGCCUCAUUACCCUCCCCUCCCCUCCCUCCCCGCGCCCGGCUGCUGCCCGCGGAGGAAGGGAGGGCAGGAGGAGCCUUGUGUGGCAGAAGUCGCCGCGCCUCGACCUGGAGGCGGUGGGAGGUCUCUGCUGACGUGCACAGGCACUCUGAUGUAACGUGAAGAGCGACAGAAAACGGACACGUGGGGAGCCGUGAGCGUGGGGGUCAGUGGAAGGAGGCUGCCUCAAGGGACGGACCCCCCUCACCCCAGCCACAAAAGUCCCUCCGCAUGAAAGUCUACGGAAUCCACAAAGCACAUUUCACUCACUCGCCGCCUGUACUGCCCGCGGCCGGAAGGAAGGAGGGACUGUUGCUGGCCCAGGUGUGCAAAUUGGUGCCCUGCGCACACUACAGAUACAGUGGAUCGCCUCACCGCGCCCCCCUCAGCAUUUGGGUGGCGUUACAUCUCGGGGCCUCAAAUAUGUUACCGGGAGAAAACGUUACCACCUGACUGUAAGUGUCUUGUACCCACUCCUCUGUCUCCUCGAGUGUCCACCUCUGCCAGAAGCGGAGCUCGCGCAAGGCGUCCUCAUCGUGGUCACCCUGCCCUUGCCUCUCGUCCCCUGCACCCACCUCCACCUGAUCAUCUCCGACGCCUCCAUAACCUGCUCUCUUUGCCCCACUUGUGGUUGCUCACCACUCUCCCCAUCCUGUCGUUGAGGGUUCGGGUUAUGACAGUUUCCACCUAUCUUACAGUUCACAUUCAGAUGGCCUUGUCUUACGCACGAGCAUUGAACACAGUCUUGAUUACUAGACGAACAGACGCAGCAGUGAGGGGGCUUCAUUUUGGUGCCAUUAUGAGAGUGUACCUCAGUGGCUAUACACAGUGAUGAACAUAGCAACAGUAGCAGAGGCCACACUCUUGUCUCCCAAAUUGUUACUUCUUUUCAAUAGUAUCAUUGAGACAUUUCUAUUAUACUUAUUCUUAUUGUGACUAUUUUUACUGUUUAUUAUGUUAUUUUAGAAUUAUUGUUAUUAUUAAAUGUCUUACAAAUGUAAUAAUUAUUAUUAUUUAUUAUUACUGUAAUACGCUUUCUUUAUUAUUGUUAAUUGUUUAAUAAUGUCCAUUAGAGUUGCGUUGUGAGAGGUAUCUUUCCUCAUAGUCUUUCACAAAGCAAUUCAAUGGCCCCAGCCCAGCAAUGACUGUGGCCGACAAUUAUCUUUAUUUAGUAUUACAAACCUUAUUAAACAUAUUAUUCUUAAGCUAACAGAGCUUGUGGUUGAUACGACUAUCAAUCACCGUCGCCUCAAAGUCCAGGUCGGCAAUGUGGGUGGUUUUGGGUGCAGAGAACCUGGUUCCUCUCAGGCAGACCAAGGCUGAUCUCAGGAGGGAGAAGGACAGCCUGCAUCUCAUCCAGGCGACCACACUGCUUCUCGGCUGCUGUCUUUUUUUAUCCGCCAGUGUUUCGGCGUGUCUUGCGUAGAAGCUCUGCGCCCUUGGUCCCAUCCUUCCCGACGUCGUGAAUACUAACGGGGUGAAGGAGCCCUGGUCCACAUUCUGUAUUCUUUCGUAUUCAUAUGCUCUGCUCUUCUCUCGUUCGUAUCUUCUGUGAGCUGCAUCGAGGGUCAGGUCUCUGUGGCAAUGGGCCAUGGGAUCAAAAAUUCUUAUGUCAAAGUAUGCCCUUUGUCCACGAGUCCAAAACCCUCUGGCGCUAACAUCCACUCGUGCUUCGUUCGAAACAUUAGCGGUACGUCUGGCGAGGCGUUCGCCUUGCAGAGGGAGCAGCGUGGGUUCCACAGUCACAUCGUGACAGACUUCUUUCAGCAUUUGAGCUGUCACGUCUCUCACUUCAUCAUGUCUCAUGCAGACGAAGCCUCCUGUCUUACAUGUCAUGGCAUGGUUUUGGUUGGAGGGUGAGCCACAGUUACACAUGUUUGGGAGCCCAUCCACUGGCCAGCCACACCUCAGGGCAGGGGCAUCAGUGAAUUCUUUCUUGUUUAGGUUGAAGCCUUUUGCCCUGAUAGGUAGUGUGGUUAGCCAGUUUGAAGCGCCCACUUCCUGUGCAAUAUCUGUCCUCCUCCUUGUGUCUUCUGGGAGUUCUCUCAUUAGGUCACUCAGAGUGUCUCUGUUUUUCUUCUCGGUUUACGGAGAUUUCAUUCCUUAUAUAUAGUGACCUAAUUUCUUGAGGGUUGUCUUCUCCCCUUUCAUUUUGGUUGAUAAUAUAUCCGGUCAAGGAGGCUGUGAUUCGGAGUGAGUUUUCGAAUUCAGACUCUGCCAGAUUUUGCGGGUUAGUGAUGCCGAGUCCACCCAUUCUUGGCGGCAACUCCAGCAACCUUCUCUCCAGGUCGCUGGGGCAUCUCCCAUUUGCUAUCGCCGGUAUGAAGGUGUUUCUGAUAGCAUCUUCCAGAGGUUUUAGUAGCGGAGCAUCAUCAGGAACUGUCCUCAUGAGGAAGUUCCAUUUCUGCUUGACACCGUACGUAAAUGCUGCGUAGGCUGCCUGCGGUUAUAAGGCACUAAUGUAUAUAUUAUCCUGUACAUAUUAAUGUAGGAAUUUAAGUGUCGGAACAGAUCAGUGUCGUGCCACCGGAUGUUUUAUGAAAGGUAGCUGUUUAUGGCCUUGAGUGAGAGAGUGGCGACACUAGAAUCUGCAUUGUGGACACCGGAUCCUUGAAACUUCCGGCGAGCAGCGAUGCAGAUAAAACCGACGGGGAGCACCAUGCAGAAGC